rnacentral:rRNA from 1 species
UACGAAGGGGCUAGCGUUGCUCGGAAUGACUGGGCGUAAAGGGUGCGUAGGCGGGUCUUUAAGUCAGGGGUGAAAUCCUGGAGCUCAACUCCAGAACUGCCUUUGAUACUGAAGAUCUUGAGUUCGGGAGAGGUGAGUGGAACUGCGAGUGUAGAGGUGAAAUUCGUAGAUAUUCGCAAGAACACCAGUGGCGAAGGCGGCUCACUGGCCCGAUACUGACGCUGAGGCACGAAAGCGUGGGAGCAACAGGG